GAUUAAUGUCAUGCUUUAUAUAAUUUGUAUGUAUAUAUUUUAUUGACUUGUGUUAUUUAUUUAUUUGUGCCCAUAUUGUUCAGUGUGUGUGUGUAACAGAAGAGGUGUUUGUGUGUUAUAGAUUACAGGGAGUGAUUAUUGCUGACUUACCUGUAUGUCUAUUUUUAAGUUACCUUACCUGUAUAGUUAUAUUUUUAUACAUCACAUGACGUACAUGUGAUAGGUUUCUAUACUUUUUAUUGGUCAAGAUAUUAUAAUAGCCUUUGGUCAGUUUGGCGGGAAUCUCUUUGUAAGGAAGUUAGUUCUCUACAGUCUGCCAAACUGAUCAGACCUAUACAUAUAUUGAGUCGGACAUUUGUGACAAAGGACCGAAAGACAGAGAAUUUAUAGGUAAGUUAUGGUUCUAGUGAAUUAUUACUGUUUCAAUGUAUUGUAUCUAACUAGCUUAUAUUGUAGAUUUGCUAUGAACUUUAUAAGUUUGGCAUUUAAGUUAAAUUAUUAUCUUUAUUCAAAAUCUCUAUUUUGAAUUGUAACUUUGUAUAUACAGAGUAGUAUUUUUCAGUAAUAUAUAUAUAUAAGUGAGUAAUGGUUAAAUUAAUCUAUUAUAUAUGUACAGAUCUGCAGUAUUAUUAGAAAGAACUGUUUUUAUGCAUUUUUUAGAUUGUCAUAAGAAACAUGGAAUACUGGUGAUGAUAUGAGGUUGAAACGGCUCUGUGCCAUACACAGGUGAAUACCUUUUUAGUGUAUUGUAAUAUUGUGUAACUUAUUAUGGGAGAAUCCAGUUUGUUUAUAUAUGUUGAUACAAAUCUCUUUAUAGGUGAUUUGUACUAGAGUAGAUCUUUCGUCUCAAAGAUAAAUUUCAUGUUAAAUGUAUAUGAUCUAUAUUUAUUGUAAUUUCAAUAAGAUAGUUGUAAAGAUAAUUAUUACAAAGUUAAUAUCUUAGUUAAAUGUAAUUACAUGUGUCCAGAUAGCUUAUAUUUCGUGUUUAGCAUAACUAGUGUGAUUCGCUAGUUAUCUCCCUUGAUUGUAUCUUGCAAUGUAUGUGCUUUGUGUAAUUUUAGUCUUUUAUGUUUGUUACAGAGUGUAGGUGUUUUAACCUACUGAACUUGUCAAAAUAAAGAACUCACGACAAACAAAUCAUGUCCAAGUGGUUAUUUGAUAUCCCCGGUUACAUGUGGAGCCCCCAGUGAGGAAUAUUCAUCGACAGUACAAGCGUCACCGACUGUGUUUCAGACAGUGUGUUUCACGUGUGUAUAUUCAAGCGUCCAUAGGACGGAGACUCAAUUUAUGUCAUUCUUGCUGAGAUGUGCUGCCCUGCUUGAUCCAAUCACUUUAGUGAUUCAGACUUUCCAAUAUGGCGGCAUAUUGUGUGUUUUGAAAUUCUAUGGAUAGUUAUUUUGGAAAUUUUGGCGUUUCCAGCUGAAGAACAAGAUUGUCAUAAGAAACAUGGAAUACUGGUGAUGAUAUGAGGUUGAAACGGCUCUGUGCCAUACACAGGUGAAUACCUUUUUAGUGUAUUGUAAUAUUGUGUAACUUAUUAUGGGAGAAUCCAGUUUGUUUAUAUAUGUUGAUACAAAUCUCUUUAUAGGUGAUUUGUACUAGAGUAGAUCUUUCGUCUCAAAGAUAAAUUUCAUGUUAAAUGUAUAUGAUCUAUAUUUAUUGUAAUUUCAAUAAGAUAGUUGUAAAGAUAAUUAUUACAAAGUUAAUAUCUUAGUUAAAUGUAAUUACAUGUGUCCAGAUAGCUUAUAUUUCGUGUUUAGCAUAACUAGUGUGAUUCGCUAGUUAUCUCCCUUGAUUGUAUCUUGCAAUGUAUGUGCUUUGUGUAAUUUUAGUCUUUUAUGUUUGUUACAGAGUGUAGGUGUUUUAACCUACUGAACUUGUCAAAAUAAAGAACUCACGACAAACAAA